rnacentral:rRNA from 1 species
GACCUGCGGAGGAUCAUUACCGAACUGUCGACACGAGUUGUUGCUGGCCCUCAAACGGGGGCAUGUGCACGCUCUGUUCACACAUCCACUCACACCUGUGCACCCUCUGUAGUUCUGUGGCCUCGGGACUCUGUCCCCUUGCCGUGGUCCUACGUCUUUACACACACACUGUAAUGAAGUCUUAUGGAAUGUAUGUCGCGUCUAACGCAAUACAAUACAACUUUCAGCAACGGAUCUCUUGGCUCUCGCAUCGAUGAAGAACGCAGCGAAAUGCGAUAAGUAAUGUGAAUUGCAGAAUUCAGUGAAUCAUCGAAUCUUUGAACGCACCUUGCGCCCUUUGGCUAUUCUGAAGGGCAUGCCUGUUUGAGUAUCAUGAACAUCUCAACUCUCACGGUUCGCCGUGAUGAGCUUGGACCUUGGGGGUCUUGCCGGCCUGCGGGUUGGCUCCUCUCAAAUCGAUCAGCUCGCCAGUGUUUGGUGGCAUCACGUGUGUGAUAACUAUCUACGCUCGUGGUUCUCUGCCAGGUAACCUUCGGUGACGGAGGUUCGCUGGAGCUCACAAACGUCUCUCCUCAGUGAGGACAGCUUUUUAACGUUUGAUCUCAAAUCAGGUAGGACUACCCGCUGAACUUAAG